AAAUACCCUGGUAGUCCCUACCGUAAACGUUGACAACUGGGGGUGGGGGACAUUCCACGUUUUCCGCGCCGUAGCUAACGCAUUAAGUGCCCCGCCUGGGGAGUACGGCCGCAAGGCUAAAACUCAAAGGAAUUGACGGGGGCCCGCACAAGCGGCGGAGCAUGCGGAUUAAUUCGAUGCAACGCGAAGAACCUUACCAAGGCUUGACAUGUUCCAGAUCGCCUCAGAGAGGGGGUUUCCCUUCGGGGCUGGUUCACAGGUGGUGCAUGGUUGUCGUCAGCUCGUGUCGUGAGAUGUUGGGUUAAGUCCCGCAACGAGCGCAACCCUCGUUCCAUGUUGCCAGCGGGUUAUGCCGGGGACUCAUGGGAGACUGCCGGGGUCAACUCGGAGGAAGGUGGGGAUGACGUCAAAUCAUCAUGCCCCUUAUGUCUUGGGCUUCACGCAUGCUACAAUGGCCGGUACAAUGGGUUGCGAUACUGUGAGGUGGAGCUAAUCCCUAAAAGCCGGUCUCAGUUCGGAUUGGGGUCUGCAACUCGACCCCAUGAAGUCGGAGUCGCUAGUAAUCGCAGAUCAGCAACGCUGCGGUGAAUACGUUCCCGGGCCUUGUACACACCGCCCGUCAAGUCACGAAAGUUGGUAACACCCGAAGCCGAUGGCCUAACCCACCCUUGUGU
rnacentral:rRNA from 1 species